CCCUCUCCUCCUGCCCCCGACCCGCUGAAUCUCCCCACACCUCCCUCGGCCCCGCAGGGGAAAUCGGCCUGCCCCUACGGAAAUCCCGUUUCUUUAUACACCCGGUCUUGGCUGGGCGGUGUCUUCCCCGUGGAAGAGAGGGUCCGGGAGGUCCGUGGGGCGGCGCAGUCCGAGGGCUUCGGGAGUCAGCCCGGGUGGAUUUGUUUCGUGGCUCUCGUUGCUGGCUGGGACGGCCGUGUGCCCGUGUUGUUCCGGAGAUCGAGGCCAACGGAUGCCGUCCUCGCCGGGUGCUCAGCCGGCCUGACCCAGCUCACCUCAUUCUCAACCUCACCAAUCAACACCAGUCAACAUCAAUCACAGAGCGUCUGAAAGGAGGAAUUUUCAUUUUCUUUUAAAGUGAAAAGGUAAAAACUGCAUUUACUAAACCAGGCCGGUGGGGGCUCUGUGAGCCCCUCUGCACAGGAAGCCUCAGAGACGCUGCAUGGUGUUCCCGGGGCAUCCUGGCCAAGGUGGGAGAACGCAGCCUCCGUGAGGACCCGCGGGAUGCCCUCAGGGGCCGCCUCCUGGUUCUCGUCUCCUCUGAAGUGCAGACGACGCUGGCCCACAUCCUUGUCGGGCAGAGGGGCUGCCAACUGGCCCCUGGCCGUGGCUGUUGCUGGGAGCCGUGUGGCCUGGGCUUGGACCCACAUCCACCUCUUGCUGGCUGCCUGCUCUUGCCAGUGGCUGAGCCUGGCUUCUCCCAUGACAGUGGCCGCAGACACAGGGGACCCGUGCCACCAGGCAAGGUGUCUGGGGACGAGGUGAGAGUUCUGCCAAAGCCGGAGCCAGGGUUGGACCCCCGGAGCUCCUUGGUCGGCCCCUGGAGGGAGAGUGGUGUGUUCACACCACGGCCCUGGUGGCCCCGCUCUGCCCAUCUUCAUCCCAGGUGGCAGCUGCUGCCCAGCUCUCUGGCCAGUGCCUCUUAGAUGGUGUCACCACCUGCAGAAGAAAACAGAAGUGCUGACUAAUACUUGAUGAAGGCCUGCUAUGCCGGCGGCACCUGAUGCGGCAGGUGAAGUCCGGGGGGCAGCAGCCAAGGCUGCCUGUUCCUCAGUGUCCCUGCCCGUGAGACGGGCAUAGCUAACUCCUGUGGCCACCUUGAGGGUAAGAUGCUUCCUGCAGGUGCUUGGACCAGUAUCUGGCACGGGGCAGAUGCUCAGUGAAAGUUCCUUGUUAACCCCUGUACCUUUCACUGUUGGAAGUAACUCAGGACAUUGGCUUGGUGGUUACACAAGCACUGUGGGAGAAGGUGGUGUGUCUGUUCACCCUGGGUCCCAGCGGCUGAGGCAGAGCCAGCCAUGCAGGAGGCAGGCGUCCAAUAUGUAUAUUGGAUGGAAGAUUGAAUUGCAUAAUAAAAUAUACUAAACAUUUCCAGAGUGGAGGGGUGAGGAGGUCAACAAACCCUCUCCCCAAAAUGUACCUGUAAAUCUAAACAAAAGUCAGAAACAACCAUGUCGGUGCUUUGGAAUUUAACCAAAGGCAAACAGCAAACCAAGGAGUGUUUAUUCAUCAAAGAGCCACGUGCUGUGGUCCCAGCCACUCGGGAAGCUGAGGCAGGAGGGUCACUGGAGCCCAGGAGCUGGAAGCUGCAGUGAAUUACGAUGGCAUCUGCUCUCCAGCCUGGGUGACAGAGAGAGACCCCAUCUCUAAAAAGAAUAAAACCCUGGACUUCAGGAUAAAAUCCAAAAUUACUUGGCAUAACUGAACUAGGAAAAUCUCAACUUAAACGGAAAACGAGGCCGGGCACGGUGGCUCACGCCUGUAGUCCCAGCACUUUGAGAGGCCGAGGUGGGCGGAUCACGAGGUCAGGAGAUCGAGACCAUCCUGGCUAACAUGGUGAAAACCCAUCUCCACUAAAAAAAUACAAAAAAAUUAGCCAGGCGUGGUGGCGGGCACCUGUAGUCCCAGCUACCGGGGAGGCUGAGGCAGGAGAAUGAUGUGAACCCAGGAGGUGGAGCUUGCAGUGAGCCAAGAUCGCGCCACUGCACUCCAGCCUGGGUGACAGAGCGAGACUCUAUCUCAAAGAUAAUAAUGAUAUAGAGAAAUUAUGCUACCUCAAUAAUUUUUGUUGAGGUAAAAUUCCCAUAUCAUAAAAUUAAGCAUUUUAAAAUAUGCAAUUCAGUAGCAUCAUGGAACACUCACAAUGCAGUUCACCCAUCACCUCUGACUACUUCCAAAACAUUUCAUCUCCCCAAAAGGAAACCACACCCAUUAAACAGUCUCUUCCCCUGUCCCCGUCCCCAGCCCCUGGCAACCACUAAUAUGUUUUCUGUGUCUCUGAAUUUACCUAUUCUGAACACAUCAUACAAAUGGAAUCAUGCGAGUUGUGCCUUUUGUUUCUGGUUUCUUCACCCAGUUUUCUAGAUUCAUUUUUUGUGGCUGAAUAGCAUUCCUUUGUAUGGAUAGACCACAUUUCUCUCUCCAUUCAUCCAUUUAUGGAAGUCAGUUGUUUCCACCUUUUGGAUAUUAUAAAUAGUGCUGUUGCAAACAUUCCAUGUACAAGUUUUUGUUUGAAUACCUGUUUUCAACUCUUUUGGGUCUGUACUUAGGAGUGGAAUUGCUGGCUCACACAUUGCUGUCUAUGUUUAACUUACUGAGGAACUGCCAGACUGUUUUCUGCAGUGGCUGGAACAUUUUAUGUUGCUACCAGCAAUGGAAGAGGCUUCCCAUUUUUCCACAUUUUUGCCAACUUUGAUAUUUUUCAUAUUUCUGAUUAUAGCCACCUCAGAGAGUGUGAAGUGGUGUCUUACUGUGGUUUUGAUUUGCAUUUUCCUAAUGACUAAUGAUAUUGAGUGUCUUUGUAUCUGCUUAUCGACUAUUUGGGCAUCUUCUUUGGAUAAAUGUUUAUUCGGACCCUUUGCCCAUUUUACAUUGGGUUUUUGUCUUUGUAUUGUUGAGUUGUAAGAGUCCUUUGUAUAUUCGGAAUGCUGGACCCUUAUCUGCUGUGUUUCGCAAAUAUUUUCCCCCAUUCUGUAGAUUCUCUUUUCAUUCUCUUGACAGUGUCCUUUGAUGCUCAAAAGUUUUUAAUUUUGGCAAAGUCCAGUUACCUACCUUUUCUUGCUUUGCUUGUGGUUUUAGUGUCUUAUCUAAGAAGGUCAUGAACAAUUUACCUAUUUUUCUUUUUUUUUUUCGAGACACAGUCUUCCUCUGUUGCCCAGGCUGGAGGGCAAUGGCACAUUCUCGGCUCACUGCAGCCUUGACCUCCAACGCUCAAGGGAUCCUUCCAUCUCAGCCUCCCUGGUAGCUGGGACUACAGGGGCACACAACCACUCUCAGCUAAUUUCUUACUUUUUUGUAGAGAUGUGGUCUUUCUGUGUUGCCCAAGCUGGUCUUGAACUCCUGGGCUCAAGUGAUCCUCCCAUCUUAGCCUCCCAAACAGCUGGGGGAUUAUAGGCAUGAGCCGCUGUGUCCAGCCUACACCUGUGGUUUCUUCAAAUAGUAUUAUAUUUUUAUUAGAUCACAUAUUGAUAUAUAGGUGAGGGAAGAGCCCGGCUUCAUUAUAUUGAUUGACAGGUGAGGGAAGAGCAGGCUUCAUCGUAUUGAUAGACAGGUGAGGGAAGAGCCGGCUUCAUCGUAUUGAUAGACAGGUGAGGGAAGAGGUGGUUUCAUGAUAUUGAUUGACAGGUGAGGGAAGAGGUGGUUUCAUGAUAUUGAUUGACAGGUGAGGGAAGACCGGGUUUCAUUAUAUUGCAGGUGGAUAUGCAGAUUUCCUAAUGUCAUUUGUUGAAAAGACUAUUCUUUCCAUAUACGACCUCAUUUUAUUUUAUUUUACUUUUUAUUUUAUUUUAUAUUUUUGAGAUGGAGUCUCACUCUGUUGCCCAGGCUGGAGUGCGGUGGUGCGAUCUUGGCUCACUGCAUCCUCCUGGGUUCAAGCGAUUCUCGUGCCUCAGCCUCCCGAGUAGUUGGGAUUACAGGGAUGUACCACCACGCCCCGCUAAUUUUUGUAGUUUUAGUAGAGACGGGGUUUCACCAUGUUGGCCAGGCUGGUCUCGAACUCCUGGGCUCAGGGAUCUGCCCGCCUCAGGCUCCCAAAGUGCUGGGAUUAAUGGCGUGAGCCACUGCACCCGGCCAUGAUCUUAUUUUAGAAAUUGCUACAAAAUCGCAAUAUUGAACACAGUGUGCGAUAACAAGAUGUCUUAGAAAAACAAAAAUAACAGAAUAAAACAAAACAAGACAGUGAGGGCCGGGUGUGGUGGCUCACACCUGUAAUCCCAGCACUUUGGGAGGCCGAGGCAGGUGGAUCACGAGGUCAGGAGAUCGAGACCAUCCUGCCCAACAUGGUGAAACCCCGUCUCUACUAAAAAUACAAAAAUUAGCUGGGCAUGGUGGCGUGUGCCUGUAAUCCCAGCUACUUGGGAGGCUGAGGCGGGAGGAAUCGCUUGAACCCAGGAGGCGGAGGUUGCAGUGAGCUGAGAUCGUGCCACUGCACUCCAGCCUGGUGACAUAGUGAGACUCUGUCUCAAAAAAAAAAAAACAAAAAAACAAGACAGUGAGGUCUUGGUGAGGAGACAGAUACAGACAUCAGUGUAACAGGAUGGAGUCCAGAGACAGCCUCACACAAAUGUGACGAAAUGUUCUCUGAGAAAGGCACUACAGUGAUUUGACAGAGCAAGUAUCAUCUUUUCUGCCGGGCACAGUGGCUCACUCCUGCAAUCCCAGCGCUUUGGGAGACUGAGGCGGGCGGAUCACUUGAGCCCAGGGGUUAGAGACCAGCAGGGGCAACAUGGUGAGAACUUGUCUCUACAAAAAAUAGCUGGGCUUCAUGGCACGUGCCUACAGUCUCGGCUACUCAGGAAGCUGUGGUGGGAGGAUCGCUUGAGCCUGAGAGGCAGAGGUUGCGGUGAGCUGAGAUCAUGCCACUGCACUCCACCCUGGGCAACAGAGUGAGUCCUUGUUUCAAAAAAAAAAGAGUAUAAUCUUUUCAACAAAUGGUGCUGGAAGAAUUUGACAUUCACAUGCAAAAACAAACAAACAAACAAAAAAAAACAACCAAAAAAACCAACCAAACAAACAAAAACCUUGACCUAAAUCUCACAUAUUAUACAAAUAUUAACUAUACAAAUGGAUAAUGUAUCUAAAUAUAAAAUGUAAACUAUAAAACAUCUAGAAGAAAGUACAAGAGAUAAUCUUUGUGACCUGAGCAGCCAAUAUUAAAAGCAUGAUCCCUUUAAGAAAAAUAUGGAUAAACUGGGCUUCACUGAAAUAAAAAACUUGUAUUGUGAAUGAUCCUGUUAAAAGAUUAGAAAGACAAGCCACAGACUUGGAGAAAAUAUGUGCAAAUCAUAGAACUGACAAAGGACUUGUAUCCACAAUACAUAGAAAACUCUCAAGACUCAACACCAAAAAAUAAAAAUAAACAAUUCAAUUGAAAACUUGGCCAAGGGGCUGGGCGCCGUGGCUCACGCCUGUAAUCCCAGCACUUUGGGAGGCCUAGGCGGGCAGAUCACGAGGUCAGGAAUUCGAAACCAGCCUGACCAACAUGGCGAAACCCCGUCUCUACAAAAAAUACAAAAUUUAGCUGGGCAUGAUGGUGCGUGCCUGUAGUCCGAGCUACUCGGGGGGCUGAGGCAGGAGAAUCACUUGAACCUGGGAGGCAGAGGUUGCAGUGAGCCGAGAUUGCACCACUGCACUCCAGCCUGGACAACAGAGUGAGACUCCGUCUCAAAAAAAAAAAAAAAGUGAAGGAUUUGAAUAGACAUUUCUGCAAAAAAGACAUGCAAAUGGCUAAAAGGUACACGAAAAGAUCCAUAGGGUUAGUCAUUAGGGAAAUGAUGCAAAUCCAAACCCCAAUGAGACAACACUUCACACCCAGCAGAGCUCUGAUAAAAAGACACACAAUAAUAAAAGCAGAGGAAUGGAAACCCUGCUACACAGCUGCUGGGAAUGUGAAAUGGUGUAACCACUUUGGAAAACAUUUUGGCAGUUCCUCAAAAGGUUAAAUAUAGUCACAGGAUUUUGCUCUUCAAUAUCUACCCGGGAUAAAUGAAAACAUGUGUCCACACACAAAAAACUUGUACCACCAUAGGGCAUUAUUCAUGUUAGCUAAAAAGUGGAAACAGGCUGGGCGCGGUGGCUCAUGCCUGUAAUCCCAGCACUUUGGGAGGCCGAGGUGGGCGGAUCACCUGAGGUCAGGAGUUCGAGACCAGCCUGGCUAACAUGGCGAAACCCUGUCUCUACUAAAAAUACAAAAAUUAGUCGAGUGUGGUAGCAGGUGCCUGUAAUCCCAGCUACUUGGGAGGCUGAGGCAGGAGAAUCACUUGAACCCGGGAGGCAGAGGUUGCAGUGAGCCGAGAUUGCACCACUGCACUCUAGCCUGGACCACAGAGCAAGACUCUGUCUCAAAAAAAGUGGAAACAACCCAAAUGUCCAUCAACUGAUGAAUGAUGAACAAAAUGUGGCCCGUCCCUACAGCAGAGGAUUGUUUGGCAAUAAGAAAGAAGAAAGCACUGACGCAGGUUGCGACACAGAGAAACCAAACCCAGAAGCAGCCAGUCAGCAGAGACCACACACUGCGCACGGUUCCAUUCAUACAAAACGCCCAGAACAGGCAAAUGCAUGGAGCCGGAAGGCAGAUGAGUGGUUGCCCAGGGCUUGGUUAGAGGUGGAGGAGGAAUGGGGACUGAUUACUAAAUGGUACAAGGUUUCUUUUCGGGGUGAUGAAAUGUUCUAAAAUUAGAUUAUGGUGAUGGUUGCUCGGCUUUGUAAAUAUGCUGAGAGCCAUUGCAUCAUGCACUUUAAAUGGGCAAAUAUUAUGGCAUGUAAAUGAUAUCUCAAUAAAGCUGUUUUUAAAAAAGGAUAAAAGGAUGGGUGCAGUGGUUCACACCUAUAACCCCAGCACUUUGGGAGGCCCAGGCAGGCGGAUCACCUGAGGUCAGGAGUUCGAGACCAGCCUGGCCAACAUGGAGAAACCCUGUCUCUAUUUAAAAAAAAAAAAAAAAAAAAUUAGCCAGGGUGGUGGUGCACGCCUGUAAUCCCAGCUACUCAGGAGGCUGAGGCAGGAGAAUCGCUUCAACCUGGGAGGCGGAGGUUACAGUGAGCCGAGAUCGCACCACUGCACUCCAGCCUGGGCGACAAGAGCAAAACUCCAUCUCAAAAAAAAAAAAAAAAAAAGGAUAAAAGACUUAAUGGGAGCUUCACCAAAGACCGUGUACUAACUAGCCCAUGAAAUGUUCUUCAACAACAUUAGGGAAAUGCAAAUUAAAAGCACCAUGAGAGGCCACCUAUGAGAGCAGCUAAAAAAAAAAAAAAAAAAAAAAAUUCCAAACACCAAGGACGCCAAGUGCUGCAGUGGCCGUGAGGCUCCGGGAACUCCCUGGGGGUGCAGACGGCGCGGGUUUCCCUCCCGAAGCCAGGUCGGCAGCUUCUGGUGAAGGGAAACCUGCGCCUGGGGUAUGACCCAGCAAUUCAGCUUCUGAGCAUUUAUCCAAGACAAAUUCAAACAGGUUUACAUUAAAGGACGGUACACAGAUGUUUAUGGGAGCUCUAUUCAUAGCUGCCCAACCUGGAAACAUUGCAGGUGUUCUUCUGCGGGUGAACAGAGACUGUGGUGUGUCGUGUAUGAGAUACUGCUGAGUGAUAGAAGGAACGAGCCGUCGAUCCGUGAAACCCCCUGGGUGGGUGUCCACAGCGCUGUGCCAAGUCAGAAAAGCCAGACCUCAACACAACCCGGUGCGUCUAUGUCGUGGGCCUCAUCCAACAUUCUUAGAACAAAUGGGAUUUCCAGGGGGAAGAGGAGGGGUGACCGUAAACGGUGCGUCUGGGGAGAUUUCCGAGUCGUGGGAUGUCCUGCUUCCUGAGUGCGGCGGUGGCGAUACGUGUGUGUGAAUAUUCACAGAGUCGUACAUCUUCCAAAAAAGUCAACUUACUGUGUGAUAAUUCAAAAAAAUAAUGACAGAUAAAACAAUGAUUUAAGACGCACAGCCAUCGUAGUAAACACUGAUCCAUGAAUCAUCCACGAAUGCUAAGUCCAGAGAUGGAUUCUGAUGAGGGACAGGACAUUUACCUAACCCAAAAUGAGACAGGACUACGACAGGGUGGCCGCAGGAGAACAGAUGAUUCCAGGCAGCAGUUUCAUGGCUAUCAAAAGAGAGCUGUUGAAAAAGCUGCAGAGGCCAGGGGGUGACCAGACACUGAAGACCAGGACAUGGGCCAAGCUGGCCGAGAUGACUGGACUCACUGGGCCGAGCUGGGCCAAGAGGACUGGACCCACUGGGCUACGCUGAGCCGAGACGACUGGACCCACUGGGCCAAGCUGGGCCAAGAGGACUGGACCCACUGGGCCAUGCUGGCCGAGACGACUGGACCCACUGGGCCGAGCUGGGCCGAGACUACUGGACCCACUGGGCCAAGCUGGACAAGAUGACUGGACCCACUGGGCCACACUGGCCGAGACAACUGGACCCACAUGGCAGUGGACUUGACCUGGGUUUCACCGGUGACCUAAUUAUAUGCUCAUCAACAUACAAAUCACACUCGGCAGUGUCAUGACAGUUCCAGGAACACACAUAUUUGGUGUAAAAAAGGGUGGCACCACAGUUCCUAGAAAUCUUCACCUUUUUCCAGAAAUCUUUAUGAAUAGUCCACUCCUUGAUUAAAGAAACCCAUUAAAGGUAGGGGCCCCAAACCCUGCCUCACGACUCACUCUCUUCAGAACACCCAUACUCCCCUUUCUUCUUUGACUUUUUUUUCUAUUGUUUAUUUUUAUGAGGCAGAGUCUCACUGCGUUGCCCAGGCUGAUCUCGAACUCCUGCCUCAGCCUCCCAAUGUGUUAGGAUUACAGGCGUGAGCCUUCACACCCAGCCACACUCUGCUUUCUGGAGGGUGUACUUUUUGCUUUGCAAUAAAUCUUUACUUUCAUUAUUUUUUAACUCAUCCUUGAAUUCAUUUUGUGAUGGUGUUAAGAGGCUGGACACUGGCCUGGGUCAAGGUCCCAUUUGCAUUUGGGGACCUCCCCUGGCCACCGGUAUCAAAAGUACUUCCUUGUUAAUUUUCAGGGUUUUUUUUGAGAUGGAUUCUCACUCACUCUGUCACCCAGGCUGGAGUGCAGUGGCAUGAUCUUGGCUACUGCAACCUCUGCCUCCCGGGAUCCAGCGAUUCUCGUGACUCAGCCUCCUGAGUAGCUGGGAAUACCGGCAUGUGCUACCACACCUGGCUAAUUUUUGAAUUUUUAGUAGAGAUGGGGUUUCACCAUUUUGGCCGGGCUGGUCUUGAACUCCUGGGCUCAAGUGAUCCACCCGCCUUGGCCUCCCAAAGUGCUGGGAUUACAGGUGUCAGCCACCGUGCCCGGCUUACUUAUCAGUUACAAAGGGCAAAGUGGUAACUUUACUGUGAGAAGCUUGUGGAUGCCAGUUUAACCAGAGGAUCAAAGGUACCGUUGCCGCUGGUGGGCAGCCAGCGUCCCGAGCGCUGGGAAGGAUGCCUGGCUCUUGGUGCCAAUCUGUUCAUGCAGAAAUGUCAGGAACGCUCAACGCGGGGAUGAUCUACAAAACAACCGCUUUGCAUUCUUCAAAAGUUUCAGUGUCAUAAAAGAUUUUUUAAAAGACAGGCCCAAUGUAUAUACCGUGAAAAUAGUAAAACAAUAAAAUAUAAAAAUAAAAAGACUGAACUAACCUUGUCUUUGUAUUGAUGUGGAGUCAACCG